CAGUCGCCGCGGUAAUACGUAGGUGGCAAGCGUUCUCCGGAAUUAUUGGGCGUAAAGGGCUCGCAGGCGGUUUCUUAAGUCUGAUGUGAAAGCCCCCGGCUCAACCGGGGAGGGUCAUUGGAAACUGGGAAACUUGAGUGCAGAAGAGGAGAGUGGAAUUCCACGUGUAGCGGUGAAAUGCGUAGAGAUGUGGAGGAACACCAGUGGCGAAGGCGACUCUCCGGUCUGUAACUGACGCUGAGGAGCGAAAGCGUGGGGAGCGAACAGGAUUAGAUACCCCUGUAGUCCCUGUCUCUUAUAC
rnacentral:rRNA from 1 species